UACGUAGGGGGCAAGCGUUGUCCGGAUUUAUUGGGCGUAAAGAGCGUGUAGGCGGCUUUACAGGUCCGUUGUGAAAACUCGAGGCUCAACCUCGAGACGCCGGUGGAAACCGUAAGGCUAGAGUCCGGAAGAGGAGAGUGGAAUUCCUGGUGUAGCGGUGAAAUGCGCAGAUAUCAGGAGGAACACCGGUGGCGAAGGCGGUUCUCUGGGCCUGUACUGACGCUGGAGGAACGAAAGCGUGGGGAGCGAACAGG
rnacentral:rRNA from 1 species